rnacentral:lncRNA from 1 species
UCAAGCACAAUAGGAAGAUCAUGUCCACUAGGAUAGGAUGUGGAGUUCUGUCUUGUAUGAUGAUGUGAAAUGCCAUGAUUAUAUACAUGUGCAUUGAUGCUAUGAUAUGAAUGAUGUAUAUGUGAUGAGGGUUCAUGUGUGCCCACAUGAACCAUAUGAUGCUAAUGUUUGUGUGAUGUGUUCUGUUUUUCAGAAAUAGGAUGAGAGGAACCCGUCGAUCUGCAAGAUUGACUGGAGUACCACCUGAGGAUGAGGGCACGAGCGCCCGUCCUCCUACAUUGCCUAGGGCAAUGUCUUGUAGAGC